rnacentral:misc_RNA from 1 species
GCGAAAGGCGACACUAAGGUGAUAUAGUACCCUAUGGCCUUAGAUGAGAGGCGAAGCGAGGGCUUUUUAUAUGUGUGAUCCAUCCAUAAUUUUCUCAUUUAUGGAGUGUCAAUCAAUCUCUAUGUGCUUGGUCUGAUUAUGCUGUCAGUGUUAUCAAGGUGAAAGGCGACAAUAAGGCAACAUGGUACCCUAUGGCCUUAGGUAUAGGAGAAAGGUGAGGUGAGGUUUUUAUAUAUAUCUG